GUGGUAUUUGAUGCACUAUACUCAGGCUGGUAUCCACUAAGUUAAAACACAUAAUUUUGUGUGUGACAUGUCCCCACUAACCAAUUUACUUUGAAACUCUAGCAGAAAGAAAAGCUGUCAACUUCCUUUCUGAGUGUUUGCUCUCACUGGGAAGGAAGAGAACCUUGUGCUGGACACAGUUAGAGCCCAGGAACAUCUACAACCAUGAGCCAAAGUAAUUUUCCAGAAGAGGCUUAUGUCAGGUAUUCUGUCAUAGGAAUGAGACGUUCAAAUGACAUGGAAAACUGCUCUGGAGAAGGUGGACCUUCACUGUGACUAGAUUAUCUUGUGGAUCAGUAGCCCUGAGUGUUGGAAGUUGAGAAAAGCUUAGAGAAGAAAGGUAGAGAAAUCUUAGAUGGCUUUAUGGGCAAUCCUGGGAGCUUGGAAAUGUGUUACAGGGUCAUGGACCUCUCAAGCAAUCCCCGAGAGAAGGAGCUGUGGAGAUGAAGUCAAAGAGGCAAUGACGAAUGCAGGAAGUUGAAGAUGCCAGGAAUGUGAAAUGCAUGCCAAGGAAAGCCACAGUCAUUGAGCAGAGGUAGCCCAGGGGAGAAGCCAUGUGUUUUAUAGCCAGCAAUGUAUGAACAGGGCUAUCCAUUCCCUUGACAGUUCAUACCAUGUUACCACAUAUGCAGGAUUCCAGACACAAAGCAGCAGGAUUACAGAAGUGUUUGUUCUGCUGGGUCUCAAUCUUAUUGUGAUCCCAUCCAGCCUAUCUAUGUCCUCAUUCUCCA
rnacentral:lncRNA from 1 species